rnacentral:rRNA from 1 species
UGAGGGAUGACGGCCUUCGGGUUGUAAACCUCUUUCAGCAGGGAAGAAGCGAAAGUGACGGUACCCGCAGAAGAAGCGCCGGCUAACUACAUGCCAGCAGCCGCGGUAAUACGUAGGGCGCGAGCGUUGUCCGGAAUUAUUGGGCGUAAAGAGCUCGUAGGCGGCUUGUCACGUCGGUUGUGAAAGCCCGGGGCUUAACCCCGGGUCUGCAGUCGAUACGGGCAGGCUAGAGUUCGGUAGGGGAGAUCGGAAUUCCUGGUGUAGCGGUGAAAUGCGCAGAUAUCAGGAGGAACACCGGUGGCGAAGGCGGAUCUCUGGGCCGAUACUGACGCUGAGGAGCGAAAGCGUGGGGAGCGAACAGGAUUAGAUACCCUGGUAGUCCACGCCGUAAACGG